ACUCGUAGACUCCUACGGGAGGCAGCAGUGGGAAUUUUGGACAAUGGGCGAAAGCCUGAUCCAGCAAUGCCGCGUGUGUGAAGAAGGCCUUCGGGUUGUAAAGCACUUUUGUCCGGAAAGAAAUCCUUGGCUCUAAUACAGCCGGGGAUGACGGUACCGGAAGAAUAAGCACCGGCUAACUACGUGCCAGCAGCCGCGGUAAUACGUAGGGUGCAAGCGUUAAUCGGAAUUACUGGGCGUAAAGCGUGCGCAGGCGGUUUGCUAAGACCGAUGUGAAAUCCCCGGGCUCAACCUGGGAACUGCAUUGGUGACUGGCAGGCUAGAGUAUGGCAGAGGGGGUAGAAUUCCACGUGUAGCAGUGAAAUGCGUAGAGAUGUGGAGGAAUACCGAUGGCGAAGGCAGCCCCUGGGCCAAUACUGACGCUCAUGCACGAAAGCGUGGGGAGCAAACAGGAUUAGAUACCCUGGUAG
rnacentral:rRNA from 1 species